rnacentral:rRNA from 1 species
CCUACGGGAGACAGCAGUGAGGAAUAUUGGUCAAUGGGAGAGAUCCUGAACCAGCCAAGCCGCGUGAGGGAAGACGGCCCUAUGGGUUGUAAACCUCUUUUGUCGGAGAACAAAACCCGGGACGUGUCCCGGACUGCGCGUAUCCGAAGAAAAAGCAUCGGCUAACUCCGUGCCAGCAGACGCGGUAAUACGGGGGAUGCGAGCGUUAUCCGGAUUUAGUGGGUUAAAAGGGUGCGUAGGCGGUCCGUUAAGUCAGCGGUAAAAUUGCGGGGCUCAACCCCGUCGAGCCGUUGAAACUGGCAGACUUGAGUGGGCGAGAAGCACGCGGAAUGCGCGGUGUAGCGGUGAAAUGCAUAGAUAUCGCGAAGAACUCCGAUUGCGAAGGCAGCGUACCGGCGCCAGACUGACGCUGAGGCACGAAAGCGUGGGGAUCGAACAGGAUUAGAUACCCCAGUAGUC